UUUCAUCCUAGCCGCCUCUGAUUAGAUUCUUGUAACGUCUUCACUUUCCCAUUAAUUUUCUCCUUUAGUCAGACCAUUAACAUUGUCAUCCCACUCGCUGCAUUAUUAAUUCGAGCUCAGACUCUUAGUUACCUAACCGGCGAAAGAUUUGGUUUCGUCGAUCGACUGCGACUCGACUUGGGUUUGUGCUUUCAGUCCGUAAAAAAACAAGAGCUGAUUGGCAGCGUUUAUUCAGUAUUGGGGAGGUGAAAUCCAAUCCCUUCGCUUCGAGCCAGGCUUAGCAACGCGAGGGGAGAAACAGGCCCGGUUCACCAUAAUGUAGACCUGAGAACGUUUAACACAGUCAGAACUCAAAGCUACAUGAAGGGAUGAGUGAAAGAAAAGGCAGUGCCUCUCAAUGAUAUACGAAGGUAAAAACGGGAAUUUUGGUCGAGAGACAUUUCACGACUUACAUAGCUCGAGAACAACUUUUUCAAGCAAGGUGAUGACUCUGUAAAAAAAAUUCCAAGCUAUUUUCUUUUGACAACUAUACAUAAUUUUGGCUUAUUUCUUCCUGGUCAGAUUAGUAGAUAUCUCUAAUGCAGAAGCUUUUGAUUUUUGUU